rnacentral:rRNA from 1 species
AACGAACGCUGGCGGCAUGCCUAACACAUGCAAGUCGAACGAGACCUUCGGGUCUAGUGGCGCACGGGUGCGUAACGCGUGGGAACCUGCCUUUAGGUUCGGAAUAACUCAGAGAAAUUUGAGCUAAUACCGGAUGAUGUCUUCGGACCAAAGAUUUAUCGCCUUUAGAUGGGCCCGCGUUGGAUUAGCUAGUUGGUGGGGUAAAGGCCUACCAAGGCGACGAUCCAUAGCUGGUCUGAGAGGAUGAUCAGCCACACUGGGACUGAGACACGGCCCAGACUCCUACGGGAGGCAGCAGUGGGGAAUAUGGGACAAUGGGCGAAAGCCUGAUCCAGCAAUGCCGCGUGAGUGAUGAAGGCCUUAGGGUUGUAAAGCUCUUUUACCCGAGAUGAUAAUGACAGUAUCGGGAGAAUAAGCUCCGGCUAACUCCGU